UACGAAGGUGGCAAGCGUUGUUCGGAUUUACUGGGCGUACAGGGAGCGUAGGCGGUUGGGUAAGCCCUCCGUGAAAUCUCCGGGCCUAACCCGGAAAGUGCGGAGGGGACUGCUCGGCUAGAGGAUGGGAGAGGAGCGCGGAAUUCCCGGUGUAGCGGUGAAAUGCGUAGAGAUCCGGAGGAACACCAGUGGCGAAGGCGACACGCUGGGCCGUACCUGACGCUAAAGCGCGACAGCAUGGGGAGCAAACGGG
rnacentral:rRNA from 1 species